ACGUACACUCCUGCGGGAGGCAGCAGUGGGGAAUAUUGCACAAUGGGCGCAAGCCUGAUGCAGCCAUGCCGCGUGUAUGAAGAAGGCCUUCGGGUUGUAAAGUACUUUCAGCGGGGAGGAAGGCGAUAAGGUUAAUAACCUUGUUGAUUGACGUUACCCGCAGAAGAAGCACCGGCUAACUCCGUGCCAGCAGCCGCGGUAAUACGGAGGGUGCAAGCGUUAAUCGGAAUUACUGGGCGUAAAGCGCACGCAGGCGGUCUGUCAAGUCGGAUGUGAAAUCCCCGGGCUCAACCUGGGAACUGCAUUCGAAACUGGCAGGCUAGAGUCUUGUAGAGGGGGGUAGAAUUCCAGGUGUAGCGGUGAAAUGCGUAGAGAUCUGGAGGAAUACCGGUGGCGAAGGCGGCCCCCUGGACAAAGACUGACGCUCAGGUGCGAAAGCGUGGGGAGCAAACAGGAUUAGAAACCCCAGUAGUCCCA
rnacentral:rRNA from 1 species